rnacentral:lncRNA from 1 species
CACUAUGUUUGUUACUAGCUGAUUGGUGCAGUUGUUUUUUCUAAGAUAAUCAGCAUGUUCAAUCAAAAAGCUAAUAUGUGCAUUAUUGCUUUGCUGGUUUUUAAACCCUUUUCUCAUUAUAGGUAUUGAUCUUGAUUAAAAGCUGUUCUCCAGAUGUUUGGUUCCACUGACAUGAAGUGAUUCUCACCUUCUCUGUCUGUUGCCAGAGGGAAGGUAUCUUCGUUCAGAUGCAUUGAGUGACAUCGUACCCCAAAAGCAGCGGCAAGGAUCAAGCGAGAGGGGCACCGAAUGGGGCCAAGUAUGCCAAAAUCCUGCUGACUGCUGCCACUGCCAUUCUUGAAGGGUAGUUUGGGGUCUGUGAUGGUAGCCCGGAAGAGAAUGGGGCUGGGCUGGGAUGUUCUGUG